AGUGAACGCUGGCGGUAGGCCUAACACAUGCAAGUCGAACGGCAGCACAGUAAGAGCUUGCUCUUACGGGUGGCGAGUGGCGGACGGGUGAGGAAUACAUCGGAAUCUACUUUUUCGUGGGGGAUAACGUAGGGAAACUUACGCUAAUACCGCAUACGACCUACGGGUGAAAGCAGGGGAUCUUCGGACCUUGCGCGAUUGAAUGAGCCGAUGUCGGAUUAGCUAGUUGGCGGGGUAAAGGCCCACCAAGGCGACGAUCCGUAGCUGGUCUGAGAGGAUGAUCAGCCACACUGGAACUGGGACACGGUCCAGACUCCUACGGGAGGCAGCAGUGGGGAAUAUUGGACAAUGGGCGCAAGCCUGAUCCAGCCAUACCGCGUGGGUGAAGAAGGCCUUCGGGUUGUAAAGCACUUUUGUUGGGAAAGAAAAGCAGCAGGUUAAUAACCAGCUGUUCUGACGGUACCCAAAGAAUAAGCACCGGCUAACUUCGUG
rnacentral:rRNA from 1 species